rnacentral:rRNA from 1 species
GAUGAACGCUAGCGGCAGGCCUAACACAUGCAAGUCGAGGGGGAGGUUACUUUCGGGUAACUGAGACCGGCGUACGGGUGCGUAACGCGUAUACAAUCUGCCUUUCACUGGGGGAUAGCCCGAAGAAAUUUGGAUUAAUACCCCAUAGUAUAUUAAUACGGCAUCGUGAUGCUAUUAAAGCUUGGGUGGUGAAAGAUGAGUAUGCGUUCUAUUAGCUAGUUGGAGAGGUAACGGCUCCCCAAGGCGAUGAUAGAUAGGGGUUCUGAGAGGGAUGUCCCCCACACUGGUACUGAGAUACGGACCAGACUCCUACGGGAGGCAGCAGUGAGGAAUAUUGGACAAUGGUCGGAAGACUGAUCCAGCCAUGCCGCGUGCAGGAUGAAGGUCUUAUGGAUUGUAAACUGCUUUUGUAAGGGAAGAAUAAGGGCUACGCGUAGUUUGAUGACGGUACCUUACGAAUAAGCAUCGGCUAACUCCGUG